ACAUGUCAAGGAGAGAAACCAUCAUCAAGAUGAAACCUACAUCAUCUCUCAAAGGAAACAUGAACAAAAUCAGAUGAUACAAAUAAGAUCCCUCCAGCCAGGUGAACACCUUAUUUAACUAUAUGUAUUCACACUCAGAGACUCCUACAAACAUAUAUACAUAUUCACCAAAUGACUAAGAAAUGAUGCUAAAAAGACACACCAGCAAGCACAGAAAUUUCAGUUGCUCAACAAAACCCGACGAAAAGACAGGCCAAACUUCCAAUUUCAGUACUAAUUGAAGUGAUUCUAAAAAGACACGCCAUAACCCAUACCGAGCUUCCAAUUUCAAAACCGCCUCAGAAUCGAUGGAAAAACAUGAUGAAUUUUUUUCAAACUCCUCGAAAAAUAUACUUGUCCUGUAAUUAGUUCUCAUACAACUCAGUACACGUUACACGGUAUGGUUAACCUUGCAGCUUUCGAGGGGAGUGACAAAAAGCCAUGGUACAUCUUCAGCUCCACCCCCAGUCAUGGCAAGCUUGCUGUCAUCUAUGGAGUUGCACAUGGUCUCUUGAAACAUGGUGUGAAUAAAAAUCAGAAGGUGAGAACAGGUAUGAGCUGCAAAUAAUCUAUAAUUAGGUGCCCAUGUGUUCGAGCGGGGCCAUAAAUUUUCAGUGGUUCAACAUCAAUUGUGUCAAACAUAUACCUCAUAAUACUAUCCAAUUUAUUUUUCAAACAUCAUAGCUUUAAGGAGUUGCACACUAAGUAAUAAAAAUUGAAAUAAUAUUUAAUGAAUAAAAAUAUAUAGUUUUGAGAAUGUCCCUCAUUAUACAAGCAUUACUGAAAACCCGGAUCUUAUUAUCGGUUGGAAAUUCUUGUAAUACAGUCUUGACUGAAUGAAGUUAUCAUGGCUCUACUUUUGGUAGAUUACUGAUUCCUUCUACAACAUGGCAUGUGACUAUAUAGCUUGAUGGUUCAACAAAUGAUAUCGAGUAGGCUAAUUAAUGUAGAAACUACAUCAAAUUUGCUCAAGAGAACUGGACCCAAGUACACCAUAUAGGAAAUCAAAGGUAAACUCUAUAUGACCAGCAAUAACCAAUGGAAGAAUUUCCAUCUAAUUCAGCCACACACACCAAUUAGCAAAGACCUCAAAUAAAAGCAUGCUAGAAACCUACUUAUAACACAACUUAGCAAAGACCUCAAAUAAAAGCAUGCUAGAAACCUACUUAUAACACCACUUAGCAAAGACCUCAAAUAAAAGCAUGCUAGAAACCUACUUAAAAGUGUAAUGAAAUGCACAUGUACUGAAACUAUGUACCAAAUUUACAUGCACAUUUAUUCUCUAGACAUAUCAUUCUACUCCCUCUGUUUCUAAAUAUAACUCUUUUUAGAUAUUUCAACACAUGCUACAUAAGGAUGUAUAUAGACAUAUUUUAGAGAGUAGAUUCACUCAUUUUGCUCGGUAUGUAGUCCCUUAUUGGAAUCUCUAAAAAGACUUAUAUUUAGGAACGGAGGGAGUAGUUUCUACAAGAAAAGGGUAAGUUAGCCUAAGAAUAUUGCACCAUGACCAAAUCUUGUCGGAAUCAUUUUUAUUUCAAACUAUCAAGUUACUUUCCUCUUACAUUGAUGAACAAAAAUAUCACACGGAUGGCCCGCGGACACAGCGUAUCCGCACAGGCGACCCGCAUCACACCAAGCCCAACACAACAGGACACACCCUGCAAUGAACAGAGGAAUCUAAUGGAGAAUCAGCGAAUAUGAUACCCCAAGAUCUUACCUGACAUAUCAAAGGCCACCACGGAACCAGCAUCAUCCAAGCGAACAUGAAAGCCAUCAUCCUCAAUGCUCCUU
rnacentral:lncRNA from 1 species